rnacentral:lncRNA from 1 species
ACCAUUGUGGUUCAUAACCCAACAUCUUGCUGAUAGUGAGUGGCAAUCAAAUUCACUUUUGGGAGAUUCUCUCCAUCAAGGGUUCCACUCGUUCUCCUUCUGCUACAGUCCUAAAAGGACCUGAAAUGGGGUGACUCUUAUUGCCAAUCCUGCGAUCAUUACUGAUCUCCCGAAACAGAGGAGAGACCCAGAACUAAUUACAAAGGAGCAGAGGCAACCUACGUAAGAAAGCCCGGUCCUUACACUUUGAAGCC